UCCACUUACCCACUUCUUUAAAAUAUUUUAUUUAAUGAUAUUUUUCUGGGAUUUUUGAUGCAGGUACUUUAGAGUAUAGGUACCAAAUCCAAAUUUCGAAUGAAUAGAUUAUUAGUUAAGUAAGACACCUAAAAGUACUUAAAGUUUUAAUAAUACAAGUGAAUGGAGUGAGUGGAUUUUUAUAGAAUACCAGCUACUUAUGCAAUUAAACCAUGUAAAGUUAAAAAAUGCAGCUAGAAAAAAAGAGGUUAGAAAUACAUACCGCUUAACAUUUUUAUUAUUUGAAUUUGAAAUACAUCUUGAAUACAGAAUACUACAUUACCUAGUACCUACCUGGCUACCUAGGUUAAUAUUAAAUAUGCGUAAUUCCAAAUUUCAGUAGAUAAUUUAACUGGAUAGAUAAAACUAGGUACCUAUAUUAUAGUUAUAUAUUAUAUAUUAAGUACCUAAGACCUAAGUAACUAACUACAAACUACCCAGAAGGCUAGAACCCUAUAGGUAAUAAAGUAUAUUAUAAUAGUUUAACCUAUAUUCUAGGAUAGUAGGAUAUAAUAUUGUUUUAAAAUUAAUUUUUUGUUAGUCAGACAUUAUACAGUGACCCAGAUUGGGUUUGACCAACCCUUUCAAAUAUGUAGUCGGAUCGGUCAGGGGCACUGAUGGGCAGCAAGAGCACACCCUGCUGCCACUGUACGCACGCAUAUAUGGGCGAUACAUUAUAAAGUUACUAGACUGAGCAAAGGCUGAGUAGGCGAUUUCUAGCCGAGAACUGGAAUUGAAAGUUCCCGUCAGUCUGACAUAAUAGCCGACUUCGAUAGCUACGUCUAAGUCCGUACAACGGGAUCCGUUAAACCAUUGCAAUAAACGCCCGUUGGAGGUGCGCCCUUCUCUGAUGACCAAAUUGCUCUCGACUAUAAAGGUAAACUAUACUCACUGGUAAUCAAGUACUCAGCUGUAAAUGCGUGAUUACGAUACGGAUGUCCGUUGAUAAAAUUUAAAUUUACUUGACUGGUUAAAGACUUGUAAUGAAUUGACGAAUUUUUCGACGUGCCGUUGACACAUUUUAAAGACCGUGUCGAAUAUGGUGGUUCGAAGAUGCAUAUGGAAUUACAAACAAGAUCCGUUUCACUUGAAUUAUUAUCAGUACACGGAAAAUCCACGUCUUUAAAACGUAAGUUGAUCAUACACGAUGGACAUGAGAUAAUGCGCAAAGAACAUUGUUUGUAAAA